AGUGAUGUUGAUGCUGGAAUAUGUUGUUACCGUUUCAAUUGUGCUAUUAUUAAAUGGUAAUAUUUAUAGUUUUGUUUGUUUCUAAAAUCCAAUUUUUUAAUAUGUUGUUCUUGACUUUUUGGGCACUUCUUUUUCUUCUUCCUCAAGGACGUUUGCCACUACUAUUUUUAAAGUUGGAUAAGAAGAACUAAUAAGCCAGUCUAAUAAAAAUAACAAAGAAGAGGUUUUGAACCCAGAAAAAGAAAUAUUGUGAAACAAAAGUUACCCAAAAACAUGUAAGUUUCUAUUCUCAAUCUUAAGCUUUUACUCUCAAUCUUUAGUCCAAGUAUUUCUUCGACAUUAUACCAUAAUAAUGGCAAUGCUUCAGUUUUCUAUGUUACCUUUCUAAUUCUUCAUUUUCUUUCUCAUCUUCUUUUCUUUGGUGGGUUCUAUAAAACAACACUGUGUAAAUUAAGAUCGAAAGGGCCAAUUUGUAGUUAAGGGUAAAUACUUCCCUAUGACCAUCAAGAGGUAAAGUUUUUUCAUCCUGAAAGUAAUAGUUUACAUAUACAUUAUACUUUUUGGUAUUUUCUAA